GGGAAAGAAGAAUAACUACAAAGACCAGUGGUCCAUAUAUUUCAGAAGGAUCCAGAUACAUUUUUAAUAUAGUACUGGAUUAUCUGAAACAUCAGAAAGAGUAAAGAUAAUUUUUAAGGAAAAAUAUAAGGCACUGUUCUAGGCAUGAUGGAUAUGGAAAUUAACAAGUCAGAUGAGAUGCAUACCCUCUAGACACUCAUGUUCCAGUAAGAAGGACAGACGAUAAAGACAAAUAACCCUGUGCUUCGUCAGAAGGUGGUAAUCAAGUAAGUGGAUUCGAGGAAGGAAUCAAAGGAAAAUCAUUUCUUCUUGUUAAUGAUCAUAUAUUCAAGCACUGACUUCAAUUAAGUUAUUUUCAUACCUGACCAGUGUUGAACUGGACGUGGGCAGGGCAUCACACCUUAACAUCUUACAAAAGUAACAUGGGGAAAGGGAACAUUAGUCUUCACUACCCUGGAACAACAUAAAAUGCCUGCAAAACUCAUGGAGCAUUUCAGCAGAAGCACCAUCCUCAUUGCAUCGCACGAGUACGUCAUCAAGUUGCCCGUGUACACGUGCCAGAUUCGCCUUUAGACUGUAAUCUCUUUGAGAUCCAGGAAGCGUGU